rnacentral:rRNA from 1 species
AGUUUGAUCCUGGCUCAGGAUGAACGCUGGCGGUCUGCUUAACACAUGCAAGUCGAACGGAGUGCUUCGGCACUUAGUGGCGGACGGGUGAGUAACGCGUGAGAAUCUGCCCGUAGGACGGGGACAACAGCUGGAAACGGCUGCUAAUACCCGAUGUGCCGAGAGGUGAAACAUUUUAUGGCCUGAGGAUGAGCUCGCGUCUGAUUAGCUAGUUGGUGGGGUAAGAGCCUACCAAGGCGACGAUCAGUAGCUGGUCUGAGAGGAUGAUCAGCCACACUGGGACUGAGACACGGCCCAGACUCCUACGGGAGGCAGCAGUGGGGAAUUUUCCGCAAUGGGCGCAAGCCUGACGGAGCAAGACCGCGUGCGGGAGGACGGCCUAUUGGUUGUAAACCGCUUUUGAUAGGGAAGAAGUACUGACGGUACCUAUCGAAUCAGCAUCGGCUAACUCCGUGCCAGCAGCCGCGGUAAUACGGAGGAUGCAAGCGUUAUCCGGAAUUAUUGGGCGUAAAGCGUCCGUAGGUGGUUGUUCAAGUCUGCUGUUAAAGCGUGCGGCUUAACCGCAUACCAGCAGUGGAAACUGGGCGACUAGAGUGCGGUAGGGGUCAGGGGAAUUCCCAGUGUAGCGGUGAAAUGCGUAGAUAUUGGGAAGAACACCGGUGGCGAAAGCGCCUGACUGGAUCUGCACUGACACUGAGGGACGAAAGCUAGGGGAGCGAAAGGGAUUAGAUACCCCUGUAGUCCUAGCCGUAAACGAUGGACACUAGGUGUUGCCCGUAUCGACCCGGGCAGUGCCGUAGCCAACGCGUUAAGUGUCCCGCCUGGGGAGUACGCUCGCAAGAGUGAAACUCAANGAAUUGANGGGGCCCGCACAGCGGUGGAGUAUGUGGUUUA